UGGUCUCCCAUGCAAGUGCAGGGGCCCAAGCACUUGGGCCAUCCUCCACUGCCUUCCUGGGCCACAGCAGAGAGCUGGACUGGAAGAGGGGCAACCAGGACAGAAUCUGGAGCCCCGACCGGGACUCGAACCCGGUGUGCCAGCGCCGCAGGCAGAGGAUUAGCCUAGGUGAGCCGCAGUGCCAGCUGUGAACAGCCUUUUUAACUCUCUGAGACAUGGCAGUAACAACCAGGUUCACCGGUCUCAGGAUCCAUUUCAGCCAGCUUUAGAUAGACCUCAUUUAUAAAGACAGUUUCAUAGCCCAGACCUCAAAAAAGAAAAAAAAUGUUGAAAGCCUUAUUCUCCCUUCCCCAGUUUCCUCAUAGUUGGUGUCACACCUGUCAACCAGUGCUCCCCAGGCCUGGGGAUCAGACAGGUCUUAGGAAAGAAGUCCACAAAGAGAAGCCACACAAAGUCCCUGAGCAGCACGGACCGCAGCCAACUCCCCGGCGACUUCAAAGCUUCAGUGAUCAAUAUUUGCUCCCAAUUUAGCAUCUCACAGGGGAUUUCCUCCUAACCCUAGAAUAGUCUGACCUGGUUCCUCCCCUCCGGUUAAUCAUCCACAGAGACUAGCCGGCAGACCAGAGGACUGAACUCUGCUGCCCCAGGAGACAGGUGGCACGCUCAGGAUGAGGCUACUGAAGGGCCAGCUGGGUGACCGGAGGGUGACCUACUUUGGAGCUUUUGUGAUUGAAGAAACAGUGAGGGACUGCAGUGUUCUCAGCCCCUUGACACAGGGUCCCAGAACACAGCCUCGCAAAGCCUUUAUGGACUUUUUUGAAGUUGUCCAGUCCUGAUACCCACUACUGUGAGGGCAGUGAGGAAGCCCAGGGAUCAGAGGGGCUAAACGGGAACUCACAGAAGCUGGCGGAGAGUCUCUUUCUGAGCACGGUGGAGGCCUGGGCACAUAGUAAGUUAAGGGAGACGUUAAGAAUAAGGCAGGUAAGUGAGUGCUAGGUCCAACUAGACAGUAUUUUUUAAAGUUCAUGGAAAAGUGGAAUAAAAAAUGUGAGCUGCUUUUGGUGCAAAAACAUUUUUUUGAUAAUAUGUGGGACAUGCAUAUUAUGAAAAAACUAUGCGUGCAUUUCAAAAUUUUCUUUGUGCCCAAAUAAACGUUUUAUUUCUUCCAUGAACUUUUUGAAGUACCCUCAUACAACAAAGUGCCUGGUAACUAAAGGAGCAUUAGAGAAGAUGAGCACUGAGGUCAUCCUGACCUUGGGAGGAUCUCUUUAAAAUGGGCAGUGACAAUGGUGCUCUCUGGUGGCCAAAGUGGGACAAUACAGCCUGAAUUUAAAUCCUUUCAAAACUGCAAGGAUAAACCCAACUUAAUAGCUUAAUAGCUAAAGUUUGAGUAGUUACUAUUACCAGAGGCUAGCCAAAUAUGGUAUAUGUAUUAAUUCCCAAUAACAUCUAUGAUAUUUAGGUAAUAUUAAUUAAUACUAUUAAUUAAUAUUAGUUAGUUAGUGUGUCUAAAAAGGGAAACCAAGGUUUGGAUGAAGUAUCCCAUCCAGGGUCACGGCUCAUAAUUGGCAUAGCCAGAAUUCAGACCCAAGCCAGCCUCACUGCAGAGCCUGUCUCUUAUCUACUAAGCUUUGUUGUUUAUAUGAUGAUUGAAUGUGAAUUAUCAGCUGUAACUCAGUAAGAAGGUUUUUGAAUCACUGUCAACUGGAAACAUGAGCUCAAUGUGUGGCUAUAUUUAAUGAUAUUUUAAAAGAAAAGGAACCCUGCUCUUACCUUUAAAAACUUUGCCUAUCUAUACCUGAAAAACAUGAUCGAUGGUGACCUCCAGAAAAUAUAUAAAGGUAGGAGAGACAAAGACUUAAUACCUAAAAUGGCCAGAGGGGUAAAGUGGACUUCUUCAGGGAAACAGACCUGAAUGGCAGAACAGAAUGACGCAAGGCUUUUCCGCUACAGCUUACUAGAAUCAGAGGGCAGGCAUGCAAACUUGGAGGUGGUCUCCAAACAAAUUCUAAGUACUGCUUUAAGGGCCAGUGUUUGGUGCAGCAGUUAAUACUGUCUAGGAUGCUCUCACCCCACAUGGGAGUGCCUGGUUUGUGUCCUGGCUGCUCUGCUAAUGCACACUCUGGGAGGCAGCAGGUGACGGCUCAAGUCCUCAGGUCCCUGCUAUUCAUGUGGGAAACCUGGAUGGAGUUCUUGGCUCCCAGCUUCAGCCCUGGCUGUUGUGUGGGCAUUUGGGGCAAUGAACCAACUGAUGGACAGUUUCUGUCUCUGUCUGCUUUUCAAAUAAAUUAAAAUAUAUUCUUUAAACCUUUAAAAGUACUUUACAGAGCUAUGAUGAAUUUGAUUGCAUUGAUCAUCAGACAUGAUAAUGUAUUUUGUCCUCUAAGAAGUUCUGAGCUUUAAAAUAAUAAUAAUAAUAAAGUACAAAGCCACUGGAGACUACAUGGAGGGAGGUACAGCAGAAAGACCACUGCCUCACACAUAAGAUGACCACUGGAGUUGACAAAUGGCUCCUUGCUGCCUAGCAAGAUGCUUAGCCUCUCUGAGCUUAAGAGUUGUAAAUGAGAACAUGUGUGGCUGUUAUUUGCAUAUUCAGCUUCUCAUCCCUAUCCUAUAUUUAAAGGAUUCUUGUCCUUGCUGUGACUCCUUCUCAACAGUAAAAAAUUCCUCUAAAAGUUAUUACCAAAGGAUCGUGUUUUCAAAUAAAUUUUCCUAGUUACACCUGGAGCUUUAUUACCAUGGAAGUAUUUAAGUUCUAACAUUUAUUCGAAAGGCAUAGAAUGACGAAGAUCUUCCAUCUGCUGGUUCACUCCCCAAAUGCCUGCAAUAGCAGAGGCUGGGCAAAGCCAGGAGCCAGGAAUGCCAUCCAGGUCUCCCACAUGGGCAUGAGUGGCAAGAACCUAAGUCCCUGAGCCUUCAUCUACCUCCCAGGUGCAUUAGCAGGAAGCUGGACUAGAAGUGGAGCCCAGGCACUCCAAUACAGGAUGUGGGCAUCCCAGGCAGCAGUGGCUUAAUCUACUGCACCAUAAUACCUGCCCUUCAAACAUUUCACUGACAAAUUAUAUGGCAUCUAAAUUCUUUUUUAAAAAGAUUUAUUUUAUUUGAAAAGAGUCAGAAAGGGAAGUCUUCCAUCUGUUGGUUCAUUCCCCAAAUGUCCGCGAUGGCUGGAACUGAGCUGAUCCAAAGUCAGGAGCUUCUUCUGAGUCCCCCAUGUAGGUACAGGGGCCCAAGCACUCAGGCCAUCUUUUACUGCUUUCACAGACCAUAGGAGAGAGCAGGAUUGAAAGAGGAGCAGGUGGUACCAAAUGGAUACUGGUGCAGCAGGCUAGGGCUUUAACUCGCUGUGCCACAGCCCCAGCCCCAGCCCCAGCCCCUACAUCUUUAAAGUGCAACCAGAUUUGCAGGGUUAAUAGUAUAUGCUUGGGGCUAGUGUUUAGCUUACCGGUUAAGACACUGGUUAAGAUGCACAUUCCUAUCAGAGUGCCUACAUUCUGCCCCAAGUUCCAGCUCCUGAUCCCCAGGAGGCAGUGGUGGUAGUUCAAGAGGUUGGGCUUUUGCCACCCACACGAGAGACCUGGGCUGAGUUCGCAAGCUUCCAGUUUCUAGCUCUGGCCAUGCAGACAUUUGGGGAUUAGCAAUCAGCAAGUGACAGCUCUCACUCUUGUCCCCCCCCCCCCCAAAAAAAGUACAUGCUACACCCAAUGUUGGGCUGGAAUAAGUUGAUAAGUUGUUAUAGUAAGCCUCCAGACAGGUUAAGACUAAUUCAUGGAUUCAUUGUGGUAUGAACUUAGAAAUGUGUAGCAUGUAUCCUUAUAACCUUCUGAGGAGCAAAUCAAGGUAACUUCUACCCUUUCCUACGCAGGACGUAUCACUGUGGCGGACUCUCAAGCUGGAGAGUUCUUAAUGGCUGUACCUUGACAAAGCAGUGAGUUUCAUCACUAAGUUUAUUACGGGGGCCAGGAAGGUUGUGGCACAACAGGUUAAGGCCCCAAUUGUUAACACUUGCAACCCGUACUGGAGUGCUGUUCAAGUCCUGGCUGCUCUGUUUCCAAUGCCGCUCCCUGCUAAUGCACCUGGGAAGACAGCCCAAUUACUUGGGCCCCUGCCCCCCUAUUUGUGGGAUACCCAAAUGGAAUUCUGGGCUCCUCGUUUUAGUCUAGCCCACCCCUGGAUUUGAGGCCAUUUGGAGAAUAAACCAGCAGGUGAAAAAUCUCUUUCUGUCAUUGCCUUUCACGCAAACAAAUCUUAAUAGAAAAUUUAUUAAAACUUGUAAUUUUUGUUUUUGGUAAAAGUCUCAAAUCUCCUAUAAGAAUGUUUUUAUACUUCUACAGUCGUAUCACCCUGAAUACUUCUGACAGACCUAGCCUUCUGGAAGAGAAAGGAAUGUUUAGACAUCCAGCAGGCAGUGGAAGAAUCAGCCAGAGUGAACUCUCCGGGGGAACUAACAGUUACCUCCACCACCGACUGGCUGCCGUCUGGAUUGAUCCGGAAAGAUCCCAUCUGAAUGGUCUUCUUGGGGUCCACCUGGGCAAUCUCCCACUCGAGUUCAUCCACCAGAGCCCUGCAAGCUGGGUAAGAGGGAUUCGCAUUCAUUUCCCCCCAGGCCUUGGGUCUCGAGCCCUGCCCAGAGUCCACUCCCUCCCCCUUCUUAUGUUCUGUGUGCUUUUCUUUACCUCCACAGUGUAGAUCCUGGCUCCUCCGAGCCCAGGCAGUUCCCAGCAGGGCCCCAAGAAGCAGGGCCAGCCAACCCCAGCCUUUCAUCUUUAACGUAAUGGGGUUGCUCCACCUGAAUUUGGGUGGGGGAAAAAAAAAAAAAAACAAAACAGAGUAAGGAACCGACUCUACUUCCCCUGCACCCCCCACACUCCACCUCUCCAUCCCAAGGCCUUCCAGAGCCUCCUGCCAUUCUGACUGCUUUCCAGGAAAUGGCUGGGACACAAAGAAGCUCCUCUGCGCCGGCGCUUGAGGGCUGACCCCUCCGGAGCGCAGGGCUUGGGGCUCAGGGGCAGGUGAGUCCCUAAGUGUUGGUACGUUACCAUUAGCGGCCAAGGGUUCACAGGGCUAUGUGGCAGCUACGGGACGGAGGCCGGUGACCGUGCGAGGGGCCUGCGGUCAGGCCAGGCGGCCGGCGAGCAGAGCGCUCAACAACCAGGGCCUGACAGGAUCCUGCACAGAAGAUGCCCGCAUGCCCUCCGCCAGCCUCCAAGGGACUGCACGUGUGGACCAGCCCCCUUUCUGAGGGCUCCCCCAUUGCUUUCGCUGCAGCCCGUCCCCAGCCCUUAGCGCCGCACGCGUCCCACCUCUGCUCCCAGGGCCGCCGCCGUGGCCCAGGCGCUGCAAAAUCGCCGGACUCUCACUUUGGCCUCGGUGGCUCCCGAGCCUCGCACCUGGCUGAGGGGGGAGCGGGGCUGUCCGUGAUCCUCCAGAGCGCGUCGGUGCUUUCUAGAAACGGGGUGCCCAGGCAGCCGCCUGACCCAGCUCCCUGCACCCUAACUGGGCGCCUAAGCGGGGCUCGGGUUGUGUGGCCGGGCGAGCCCCCACCACACAGCGACCCUAAACCCGCCCCUGCAAACUCUCGCGCGAACAGGCAACGUGGGAGCGGCACUGAAGUGGCGAGGACCCCGGUGGCUUGCAGAAGGACCCAGACUUGCGUGGCGAAGGGCUCCACGUGACUGGCCGCCGGCGGGUAGCAGAACAGGAGCGGCGCCAGGCGCGGACGGAGCCCGGCGUGUUACACGGGAGCAGUGAGGCGCGAGCGAUGCAUCGCUCUAGGUGGGCUAGGGCCUUCAGAACCCCGGGCUGCGGCUAGCCAGCCAGACGACCUCGCCUCGAAACUACAUCUCCCAGAACGCACUGCAGCACCAGCUGACCCUUUCGGCAGCUGCUGGCGUCAGCAGAUGCCCUGGGACUUGUAGUUUUGCGGCUUACGCAAACCAUACCACGUGUCUUCACAGCAGUCUGACCCUAGGGUACUGGGCAUCUACAGCAAACACCUAGUGUUGUCCAGGAAGGGAGUAAUUUCACUUCUCCCGUAUCCAUAACUUUGGACCCCGAAGCUUUACCUUCAUUCCCGGAUGUGGAUUUGAGCACAACUUUAGUUUUCUGAGUGUUAAUAAGAAACCAAAAAAUAAUAAUAGAGCUUCACAGAACCCCUACAAAAGCAGUUCUAUAAUGAGACAGGUGAUUAGACAAUAUUUUCGUUUUUAUUUUAUAAAACAUGCGGCUUAAAAUAAAUUUUUAAAAAAUAACAAAACUUGAGACGGGAAAGAAGAUGGAAGACAGAUGCUUCUCAGCUGUCAGCAGGAAUGGAGCCAGCAGCCAAGCUUUGUCCAGGAAACAAAGUCCCUUUUGGCAAUGGUAUUGGCAACUGUGGUUUUCUUGAUUCCCCAAGCUGCAACAUGAUGAUCCCUCCAGGCAUCCCCUGAGCAAUUGAAGACUUGAGCUAAAUCUUGAGCUACUAAGUAUAUCCUCUUGUCACUGUCCAGUACUUCAGUCCCCAGCCAGCUAGGAGCUGAGAGUGUUGGUCCCAGAACCUUCUCCGCCUAGAUACUAAUCACCCCGGGUAUUUAUUAAGAAUGCCAAUUACUUUCCGUCUGGGUCUAGACUUUGUAUCUGGCCUGCUGUUUUGCAAAGGAUGAAGAAGGAAUCCGGCUCCUAGAACCUUUGCAUCGAUUUUUCUGAGUUCCAGUUCUAUUAAUAGCACCAUCUGUGGAGACUGAGCAGGUCCCGUUCUGGAAGUGGACCCACUUGGGAAGCCAUCUCCCAGUUCUGGGGCUACAGAGCACUGAAGGGAGAGGGCAGGUCAGAGUGCCAGCACUGAGGAGAAGACCGCUGCGUCUGUCAGAGACAAAACCGAGAGCACGACUGUUAGGCGAGUGCAGAGAACACCUGGACGCCUCUCGUGAAGAAAAUGGACGAGAAAACGGGCGUGGACCUUCCCCAAACAUUUCAGAAUUCAGCAAGAGGAGAUUAUAGGACUGAUGCAGGGUUUCAAUAAUAAAAACAAUUUCCCUGCCUGUUAGGAGGAUUAAGUGCAAUUGUAAUUGCUAAUCACUUUACAAAAAAUAGGGUAAGAUUGGUCUUGUUAUCAUCACUCAUCAACAUCGUUGUGGUGGUGGGUAUAACCUCCAUGUAUGCAAUCAAAACCUGUCCGAGCCAGUCUCCCUGUUCCCAUUCCAGGCCUUACUCUUGGGACUUGUCUGGCCCUCUGGCUCAGGCACCUUCCAGUCCAUCUUCCGGCCCUUCUCAUAAAGGCCCUUGAGCACCUUGUGGAAGGAUUCAGGCUCAGUGCCGUUCUUGCUUAGCUCCAGAUACUUUCGAUAGAGCUGAAGAGCUGUGCGGGCAUCCUCAAUACUGUCAUGGGUCUCCCCUUGAAUCUUCAGGUCUAGGGCGAGUAAAGGCAGAAGAGUUGGGGACCAGGCAAAGGGAGGUAGCGACAUAUCCCCCCGACUCCCACCCUAUGACUCAAAGAAAACAAUAAAUUACCUAUAAGGCAAAGAGUCAAACACCUUCCCUAGUGUAGAGGAGAUACUGACGCUAAUUGUAAAAAUCCCUUGGUCAAUCUCAUCGCUAAUUCAGGGCUGUCCCUACUCCCCUUUGACCUCCAGCAGUUUUCCUAUUUCUAAUGAGCACCUCCGCUGUCUACAAGAUGGAGCAACUCACCCAGAAAGUACCAUGCAAGGAAUCGCAGGGAAAUCAUUCGUUUUCGGGGCAUGUGGAACAGGUACACAGUGUCAAGUACUUGGUCCUUGGGCACCUGGCAGAAAUAAAACAGUGGGAGAGUUAAAGAUUCAUUUCCCAUUCUCCAAAAGCACAAUGUAUACCCUGGGGGCCCACCCUCAAAGGUGAUUCCUAAGAGUCCCUGCCCGAACCAUGAGGUUGAUGACCCUGAAGUCCUUCUGCAGGCCAUGGCCCACGAACUUGACGCCAAUGUCAAUGAGAAACCGAAGCUUCAAGUACGUGGACUUGAGGGUUGUGAGGUGCUUGGAGGAUAUCUUGGCGUCAAGGUCUCCCGGCUUUAUCCCCGAGUACUGAGUCAAGUAAUCCACGACCUGGGAAUAGAGAAAGGAAGUGAGGCGCAGAGUCUCCUCCUGCCACUCUUCCCUGGGUUCUCAAGUACAGGGUCUGCCUCACUCGCACACCUACAGUAAUACCUGCUCCUGGGUAGAGAUGUAGUCAUCAAUGAAGGGGAUACCCUCAUUUGGUCCCUGGCCCCGAACACAGGUGAUCCUUGCUACUGACAUCUGGCUUGGUUUAAUGGUGGACUUGGUGCCAUCACUGCGUAACUCUGCUUCUUCCUAUGUGAGGAGAGUUGAUAAGGAAAUCAGAAAUGCUUGUAACUCCUAAUGGCCUUACAGUUCCAUGCCAGUGUUCUGUCUUUUUAGUCUUGGUUACCUCAUUGAGGGUGACAAACUCAGCAUCGAGGCCCACCAGAUCCCCAACCUGUGGCAUUUCAUUCAGCAUCAGUGGGAUAAAGGUAGUAUGUGUCUUCCGCUGCUUCCGUGCCAGUGAGGCUUCAGCCAGCAGGACACUAGCCUCAAUAGGAUUCUUGACUGGAAGGGAGAACACACAGGACAGGGGGCUGGGAUAGGUAUCAGAGGAGAAAAGCCCAAGGUGGCUAAUGGGAGACUCUGGGUCUAUGCUGUCGUCCCUCAAUAAUUAAGGCAUGCAAGUAUUAAGAUCCUAUCUGAUGAACAGAGCAGGUUUAAUCAGAAAAUUACAAAGAAACAGUGGCAGGAGUUUGGUACGGUUGCUUGGAAUGCCUGCAUCCCAUGUUGGAGUGCCUGGGUUCAGUCCCAGCUCUAUUUCACUCCCAAUUCCAGUGUCCUGCUGACGCUCACCCUGGAAGGUGGCAGGUGAUGGCUCAAAUGGUUAGGUCCCUGCUGCCUACGUGGAAGAUGGGGAUUGAGUUCCUGGAUCAAGGGCAACUGGGCGGUAGACCUGAGGAUGGGAUGUCUGCCUCACAAAAUAAGCUAAUUUUUAAAAGAAAUAUACUGAGAACAGACAAGAAAGAACAAAGCUUUCAUUUGAAUCAUAGCCUACAGAGAAAGUACAGUUUAAAGCUACCAAACAGAGACUUAAUAAGGAACAUAUCUCCCAAAGGGGAGAUCUUCAUGUGAUUAUGAACAUGGUUAGACUCAAACUUGAGACCUGAAUCACUCUGAUCAAACUUCCCACCCUCAUCUCUUCCCCCACCCCACCCCCGGGAUCGCCAGCUCUAAACACAAGGUCGAGGGUGAGUGUCGGGCCUAGCAGCUAGGCAGCCAGUUAGGAUCCCUGCAACUUGUAUCCAGCCAUCUGGGUUUCAGCUUCCUGCCAAUGCAGACCCCAGAAGACGGCAGUGAUGGCACGGAUCAAGUGGUUGGGCUCCUGUUACCCACGUGGGAGACCUAGAUUGAGUUCCCAACUUCUGGCUUCAGCAUGGCCCAGCCUCAGCCAUUGUAGGCACUUUGGGAAUGAAUCCACAGAGGGGAGUUCUCCUCUCUGUUUAUCUGUCUCUCUGCCUCUCAAAUAAACGAAUAAAUAAUGUUUUUAAACAUAAUUAAAAUAAGUAAGCAGAAAUCUUUUUAGUGUGCCCAGAAAUAUUAAUGCUGAUUACCAAUCCAAAAUACUGACACACUCUAUCCCAAAUCUCUUCCUAAAGUCCUAUCUAAACUAUCUAAACUGCCCAUACCCUUGGGUCUACUCUUUGUUACUUACUGUUCAGGUUAUAUCUGGAAUUGAGAUUUCUUUUCACGUAAUAAAGGAUUGCAGGUACUUUCCAAUUCAUGUCAAACUGCACGGCUUCAUGCUAUAGAAGAAAAAAAGCACUUAUGGCCUUUGCAUACACCCCCUCUUCCUUUUCCCCAAGCCAGGCAGAAGCCAGGACCGGGGUGCUAUUUUUAACUCUGAUAAUACUUUUCAUUCCUGAGGAUCCCUCCCUCUUGAUUUUGCCUGGCUUUCUAUAAGGCCCCAAGGAUGAAGAUGCUAGGAAAAGGGGAGAAGAAAGGUGGAGUGGAACGUGUGACAACUAACCUUAUCGAUGGGUUCGAUGAGAAAGUCAUUGAAGAGAUACCACUGCUGGUGAGUAACACCCUGUGGAGACACAGGAAGAUGGAUGUCAGAGUGACGGCUGGACCCCUGUCUCAGACUCAGCGACAGACCUGGGACUCCACUGUGGCCAUCCCCAGGAAUGUCCCUGCCCUGUGCCACCUCACUCACCUCUUUGCGCUGGUGGUACGUCUCUCCAACUUUGAUAUGAGCCACCAGGCUGCCCCCUGUGCGUGAGUCCAGGAUGUGUACCACAGUUGCCAUCAGGUCAUACACAUAGACACCAUGCUCCUCCUCUGCCCUGGCUGGGCCCCACUGUGAGGGGGGCACCCAGGCUGCUAAGCUAAGUUUAAGGAUGGGGAAGGAAGGGGGGAUGGGGACAGAGGACAGGGAGUUGGGGGUAUAGGGAAUGGGGGACCAGGGUGGGUUAUUUCCAUCCUAGCCCGUCUACGACUCCCAGGGCUGACCUGAGCUGGUCUGGAAGAUCUUACAAGUUGUAAAUCACAGGCCUCACUCCCUUACUAAGUUCCACCUUUCCCCAGCCAGCUUCACCUUCUGCCCCACCUCCUCUCCCGUAUCCUCCCUGCCCCCAUUCCCAGUUUUUCAACAACCUGCACCUCCUCCCCAUCAGUCCAAUUGCAAACAUCCAGCCCUUUGUUCUUGGUCAUCUUCAUGCGAAGGGAGAAAGGAAGCCAGACAUUCUUCAGCUCCUCCAUGGAGGGACAGAGCAGCGCACCUUCGGGACUCCCCACUUCCUUCCUGUCAGCACAGAGGAAUCGAUGUGUCCUGCAGAGAUCCAGCUGGUAACAAGAGGAUCCGCCAGGCCAAGUCUCCUGCAGCCAGGCUGGUGGACUCAGAGCCCCCUCAGAAGCGCCUCUUGCGUUUAUGCCUCCGAGAGCUUUCCUAACGCUGCCCUCAUCGUGCCUGUUCUGUAUCACCAUCUGCCUGCCCUACUGCACCUUUCUUGCUCAGCGGCCGCCUUCUUCAUGGUGCCAUCCUUGACUACUGUGGCAUCUCUGGCACUGAAUGCUUAGACAUUCCUUUAGCAUUCAGCAACAGCAUGGAAGCAAUUUCUGAUACAGCAAUGUCUCACCUUCACCAACCACACACUAAACUUCCUAAAAACAGGGACUGCAUCUUUGAAGUCUCCAAAUCCUCCCUAACACCUAAUACAGCUCUGUCAAUAUUUCAGUGGUCCCCAAAAGCCUUUACGAACUGUUUAAAACCAAAAGACCAACAAAGACAAAAGCAGCAAUGCCAGUGGACUGGGGAGGGGCCAGCUCCGUCCCCUCUGAACACACCUGAUUACGUAGCCUGGUGCGGGGGUUGGGGGCAUAGCCAAUGAAGCCUACUUUCUUCAUGGUGCGCAGAAUCUCUGCAUCCACGGGAGGUGCUCGCCUAUAAUGCAGUACAAGUCUAGGGCUUAAAGGGUCACAGUGUCCACCCAUCCACUCCCAACCCCAAGGGUCCAGAAAGAAUACGGAAGGUAAACAAAAACCAGGAAAGUAGUAAAUAAUGACAGGGCUAGCAGAGGACUCAGCUCAGUUCUUUCCCCCUCCCUCCUUUGGGCCCAGAGGUGAGGUACAACCUGGGGGCUGGAGCGGAGUUGGCAGCAGGCCAGUCAGAGAGAAGUGUGUCAGUGGUGAGUGGCACAGGGAUGAGGGAAAGAGGCAGCAGGUCCUGGCUCCAGUCCAGAGGAGGUAGUGAGUCCACGAGACAGGGCAAAGCAAACUCAGUCUCACGGGAGUAGGGGUUGAAAGAAGGCUCAGGGGAGUCAGUCCAGAGGUGCACGCAGCCCUCAGAAUCCCCAAAGG